CAAAUCUCUUAAAGCCGUUCUCAGUUCGGAUUGUAGGCUGCAACUCGCCUACAUGAAGUCGGAAUCGCUAGUAAUCGCGGAUCAGCAUGCCGCGGUGAAUACGUUCCGGGGCCUUGUACACACCGCCCGUCACACCAUGAGAGUUGGAAAUACCCGAAGCCUGUGAGCUAACUGUAAAGAGGCAGCAGUCGAAGGUAGAGCCAAUGAUUGGGGUGAAGUCGUAACAAGGUACC
rnacentral:rRNA from 1 species